CAAAUCACCAGGCUAAGCAUGUAGUCCUGACUGCCGAGAGCUUGCGGACGCGGGUUCGAUUCCCGCCGCCUCCACCA
rnacentral:tmRNA from 1 species